AUUGAACGCUGGCGGCAGGCCUAACACAUGCAAGUCGAGCGGAUGAAGGGAGCUUGCUCCUGGAUUCAGCGGCGGACGGGUGAGUAAUGCCUAGGAAUCUGCCUGGUAGUGGGGGAUAACGUCCGGAAACGGGCGCUAAUACCGCAUACGUCCUGAUGGAGAAAGUGGGGGAUCUUCGGACCUCACGCUAUCAGAUGAGCCUAGGUCGGAUUAGCUAGUUGGUGGGGUAAAGGCCUACCAAGGCGACGAUCCGUAACUGGUCUGAGAGGAUGAUCAGUCACACUGGAACUGAGACACGGUCCAGACUCCUAAGGGAGGCAGCAGUGGGGAAUAUUGGACAAUGGGCGAAAGUCUGAUACAGCCAUGCCGCGUGUGUGAAGAAGGUCUUCGGAUUGUAAAGAACUUUAAGUUGGGAGGAAGGGCAGUAAGUUAAUACCUUGCUGUUUUGACGUUACCAACAGAAUAAGCACCGGCUAACUUCGUG
rnacentral:rRNA from 1 species